rnacentral:lncRNA from 1 species
GCGGGCUCUGCCCGCUCGCCUGCUCGCCUGGUGGGGGAGAGGGGAGCGGGGCCGACACAGGACUGCAGUUGACAGCAGAUAACUGAAAGCUCGGAAAGCGAAACCGUGGAUAAGCAGGGGAACUGUGGCAUCCCAUUUAAAAUUGCUUCUGAAGAGAAGCAUGAGGUUACAUCUGUAAUCUCCCUGCAGCAGAGUCAACUGCAUAAGAAACCAAAAGACACACCUGCUCCAUGCCAGGUCUGUUCUGAAAAAUUGAGAAGAUGAUCUAUCUUCACUUCAAAAAGAAAUCUCUAAGGAGCAAGUGGACACAGCCUGCCUCCCAUAAGCUGUCUGGCUCACUCAUUUUAUUCCUGGAAAUCAGAAGUCAAUCAUUUCCUGAGAAAUGAGGAAAAAGAUGGAGGUCACAGAGACCAGUAAGAGCAAGGAGGGAGAGGAAAAAGCUGAACAUGAAACUCGAGGAAGAAACAGAAUAUGCAGAGGAAUAAAAAAAGCUGACGGAAAACUCAACAAGUGGGGACCUCCCCUGAAAUGAUAGGAAAGAAUUUAACCUCAUGGCAUAAAAACAACUCAUGAAUGGUGUUUGGAUGAAAAGGUUAUGCGGGAGUCAAAUGUUUGAAGGGGCUCAGGUACUUACUAAAAUCCUGGCCAGAAAUCUUCAUAGAAAUGUACUCAUGGUGAAGAGUUCCUUCUCACCUGCAAACCCCCUUCUACUCUGCUCAUUCAAAACUGGUUUGCAACUUGAAGCUGUCAAGGUCUUGCUACUCAAAGUGUGGUCCCUGGACAUGCUCACUGUUAGAAAUGCAGAUUCUCAGGCCCCACCCUAGACCUGAUGAGUUAGAAGCUAACCUCUGCGAACAUGGACAUUUGAGAAGCACUGCUCCAUGUCACUGAGCCCUCCCUGGAGGAAACAUGAUAUUCACCCCACGAAGACCACCUUCCUCAUGAUGCCCUCUGCCCUCCAGAAAAAUAACAUAUACACUGCCCAUGUUAUUUGAGAGAUAUUUCCUGUGUGAGUAUACACUUUUCUGGAACUGAAGACCUGUCUAUUCACACGGCCCUUAUCUGAGCAGACUUUGGGACAAGCAUUGGGGUGCAAUUAGUUUGUAUGGGCAGUGAUCUCAGGGAGCUCCAGGAGAGGGUAGUGAAGUGUGUCAUCAACGGGUGAGAAAGCUGGGGCAUCUAUCCAUCUCACCGGUCUCUCCUUGGUAGAAAACUGUACUGGGGACGUUAACUAUCCUGCACUUCCAGCCCUCCUGACUCGGGUGCAGCACACUCCUGUAGCCAGAGAAAGUUCCUAACCAGAGAAACAGUUCGCCUAUGGCGAACUGUCAUAGGCGGCCUCCAGGGUGGGUGGAGGGGACAUGGAGGGUGUUGACAGCAUCUCUCCCACAUCCUCUCCCUCUGCACAAGCAACUGGGCUGGUGGAGCUGUGGACUGAGAACAGAGGCCAGGGGCAGCUACUGCUGAACUUCCUUUGGCUGAAGAUGAAGGGAUGGGGCCUGAGAGGACCUCUUCCUAGUCUAGCACCUUCAGAGUGUAUCUCCACAGAUCAACCUGUCAGCUCAUGGAGCCCUGUCUCAGGGGGCAGCAGCUUACUAAUCUCUUCCCUCGGGUUGGCACAUCCACUUUGCUACUCCUGGGUACAUCUCAGGACUCUUCUUAAAGAACUGGUAUCCACUUCUAGGAUGAUCCUUCCUCCCUUUCUCUUUGUUGCUUCAACAGGUCAGCUCCAAUCUCCUCUUACCUAGACCAGCACAAAACGGCCUCCUGGUGGAUGCCUUGCACACACCUCUCUCCCCUGAUAUGUUCUGCAAACUGCCACAGAUGAAUCCCAAUAUGACACUUUGUUUUUGCUAAAAAGCCUUCAAAGGUUGUUAACAAGCAACAUUCUUCAUUGGUUCUUAACUGGGGGUGUGCACUGGAACCACCUGGGAGCCAGAGAUGCCACACCCAGCUGUGCAGGCUGAUCACUGCAUAGAAGACCUGGCUGCUCUCACCAAGCCCUUCACCUUGGCAUGAGUCUCUCCAAUUUGCAUAACAGUGCUGGAAAGGUGACGAUGACAAUCCUAUGAAAAGCUUUGUAAAAAAGACCCAGAUGCAGGCCCCUCUGUGUGGCCGCAGAAUUAAUGCAUGUGGCGUCGGCAUGCAUUUGCUGAAAGCUCCCCAGGUGGUUCUGAUGGACAAUCAAGUUAAAAACCCUCAAAAGUGAAACUGCAUUGAAAUUCUCUGGUGGGCUUGUUAAAGAUGCAGAUUGCAGGCCCCAGCCUCCAGAGUGGGAUUCUUUACAGCAGAAGCAGAGUCAGGAAACCUGGAUCUUGAAUCAUCUGAGGCAAGUGUUCUACACUAGCCUUUGAAACACUGGUCCCAAGAGCUAAUGUAGCCACUGCCAUUUUUGAAGUUAAGAGAUUGAGACCUAGAGUAUGUGAGAAAAAAAAUGCCUUCUCUGGGAUUCUUAUGCUGGUGAGGACUGAGGAACCCUGGUAUUAUGGUCCUCUCUGUCUUUGAGUCAGUUGUCUGGAGCCUCCUAUGUCAUGUGCCUCUGGGGCAGGGACUCAGAGAAAUGAACUCUGCAGACCAUGGCUGGCUCCAACAUGGGUGCCUACCUGCUGUGCUCCCAGAGGAAGCCCAUCUACUCGUUCAACAAGUGUUUCUUAUUUUGUCUCAAAUGGGAAACAGCUUCUACACAAUAAUUCUCAUGUGUGAGACACGUAUGUUUUCUGUUACAUCUUACAUUCCUUUGUUCAUGCUCUCAUUUAAUAAUUACUGAGUAGCCUCAGUGUCCUUUGUUGGGCCAUAUGCCUUUGUAACACAGUUCCUGCUGUCUCCAAGGAGAAGUUCCCAGCCUAGGAGGAAGAAGAAGAACUGGUUCAAGGAAAGACACUUAUCAUCUCACAUGAUGAAUGCAUGGGGGUGCUGUUGCACCAGGGGCUGAAACUGGCCUCCCUUUACCAGAGAAGCAUUGGCUGUCCCCAUUCCCACCCCACAGGUCGUAUUUUACAGCUCAUUGUUAUUACCAUUGUUUUACCUUUCAACUAACUAAAA